AUGAGUUCCUCCCUGCUGAGCUCAGGUGAAGCACUCUGCUCAGCAUUUUAUACAACCCCCACUUCGAUUUUUACUGAAGUCUGGUGGGGGGUGGGGGACCGGUGGCGUCGUACAAAAAGGAAACGUGCGAUGGGAACCGUGGCCUGUCUUGCCGAGGUGCGACCUCGGCCCCGGGCUGCCACAUCCUUGGUACGCUGCUCUAAGCUCCCUCAGGUGGUCUUCAGCCGGGCCCGGAGGCCAAGAGCCCUGCAGGCCCGGGCGCUGCCGCGUCGCCGCCACCCCAGCCCCGCGGCAGGAGCCCCCCGCAAGACCCGCGCGUGCGUCACAGGCCCGCCUGGCGUCCCGCCCGCCGGGUCCGCAAGGAGGAGCCCGCGAGGCGGCCGCCACGGGGCUGCGCUUACCUCGUCUGGCGCGGGUAGGGGCUCCAGCUCCCAGGCUCCUCGCCGACCGCCGCCGUUUUGUGCGUCCCUCGCCCCGACGGCAGCUGCGCCGGCCCGGGCCACGGCCACGGUCACUUUCAUUUUCCUCAACAACAGCGGCAGGAAAGCGAAAGCGAAAACUGCCGAGAGGCGGGCCCCGGCCGAGCGCGGUGAACGCGGAGCGCGGGCUGGCAGCCAGAGGCGGGGGCUCAGGUCUCGGGGCUGCACGCGGGCGGCCGGGCGGCGUUCGGGCGGGAACCCAGUCCACCUGAGGCGCCGGAGCGAGCCUGGCGCGAACACCUCCGCGGGACGGGGACGGGGCCCGGGCCGCGUCCGGGCAGCAGGUGGAGAGGCCCGCCGCGCGCCGUCGUUCGUCCGCGCGGCCUACUGUGCCUCGGUCCAUCGGGGUUGCUUCCCAGGCCGCCCCUUAGCGCCUGCUUCGGCUUCGGGGCUGGUGGCGGCGCUUCGUGGGUUUCUGGCGUCCGGAGGCGGGUUUGGCCUGGGCGACCAGGAGCAAGCCUCUGAGGGGGUCUCGGGUGGGGGCGCUGAGCCAGCUGGGGUCGGCCUGUCCCCAAGCCUGGGCAUGCUCACUGGUCCCUCUGCCAAGUUGGCGGCACCGUAG
rnacentral:lncRNA from 1 species